AUGCAAAAAAAAAGGGAAAAAAAUCCAAUUGAAACUGUACUUGUUAGGCGGCAAUAUAUUCCAAAAAGGCAAAAUAACUUCCAAAAACUUAUUCAUUCUCUCAAUAGGGGUUUUUCUAGGUUUUAAUUUGGCGAAGGUUCAUCAAUGGCUUUCGCAGAGACUUUCUGGUUCCAGGCAGAAAUCAACCAGCUUCUUAGCCUUAUCAGUUAUCAUCAACACUUUCUACUCUAUCAAAGAGAUUUUCCUUCGUGGCUUCGUGAACUCAUCUCCAACUCUUGAGAUGCGUUGGAUAAGAUUAGGUUUGAGAGUUUGACAGAUAAGAGUAAGUUUGAUGCGCAGCCAGAGUUGUUCUUUAGGCUUGUUCCAGUCAAAGCUAACAAGACCUAGUCAAUUAUUGACAACGGUAUUGGUCGGACUAAAUCAGGAAGAUGAAUCAACUGAUCAUAUUUGGACAUGAAGCAAAAUUGUCGAUUGGUUAAGAUUAUAGCCUGGUAAUGGGCAAUGUGGCUACAUAGAAAUGAUGUACGAGUAUUUAGGAGACAGCAAAAUCAUCUACCUUGGGGCGGAAAACCAGUCUCCACAAAGAAAGUGAAAGCAAGAAAGACAUUCUUUAAGUACUCAUGGAAAAUUAAGAGGCACAUACUUUGUAUCCAUGCCAGUGAUGCCUCUUGGAAAAAAUAUGAGGAGAUAAGUAAGAAAUAAUGGGUGCAUCAAUAGGUUGGAGUGUGGAGAGGUCUACUGUGAGUUAAAUCCAUGGAGGAGCUAGGGUUUAUGCUCAAAAUCCAUCGCAUGCAGAAGAAAAAGCAAUUUUACAUGGUGUUAAAGAAAUUGGUCAAUAUAUCAUCAUCAAGACAAAUUGUGAGGAAGCUGUAAAGGCUUUACCCUAUCCUCAACGGGCUGAUUUUAGGCAUGUCAUAGCUGAAUUUGUUUCCUAAGCUACUUAGUUAGAUUAUGUCAUUUGUAUUAAAAUUUGUAGAGUAGUGAACUAGUGAUCAAACUAGUUGGCGAUCUACAAACUUCAGCUAAAAGGGAGCAAGGGGAAGUACUGUAAUAUAUUGUAUAUUGUCAAAAGAAAUAGAGAGUUAAUAACAGCUUGAAUUUGA